GGGCGGUUGGCUCAGUGGUAGAGCGCUCGCUUCACACGCGAGAGGUCAGUGGUUCGAACCCACUACCGCCCA
rnacentral:tRNA from 1 species